CAGCUGCUUUCAUGACAAGAGACUGGGGAGAGGGGACAGAAAUGGGGACAGGAGAUCUCUGUGUGUCCUGCUAAGGGUCAGCACAUGGAGAAAUUGUGAGCAGAACUCUAGGGAAGGAGACUCCCCUCCCCUAACUGAUUUGCCGUUUUGUUGAGCUGUGUGCUAGAGUUGAUCAGUUCUUCUCAUGAAUGAAGAGGCAGAAGAAGAAAGUGGAGAAAGACAGGAGGAAGAGGGGAAAGAGACAAUCACAACGGUAUACGGCAAGAAUAUUGAUCAUUUAAUCCUGACAUUUCCCAGAUGACAUCCUCAUUCUUUUCUUCAGAUGAAGCUGUGCACAGUCAUGCCUGGAUUUUAUGUGGGUGCUAGGGCUCUGAACCCAGGGACCUGUACUUGCUCAGAAGUCACUAAAGCCACUGAGCCGUCUGCACAGCCCCAAGUGUCUGUGUUGUUAACUCCUCCCUGGUGAUUGGAACAUGCAAGCCAAGUUGCACAACACCUGGGGCUUCUGAGCCCCAGGACAGCGGGAGAGCCAGGCUUGUGAGCUCUGGCAAGGUCUGGUGUAAAGAAACAUGAAGGAGAGACAACUGGGAUCCCUGGUGUGACAGUCUACUUUCUGCACGAAGGUGCUGCCAGAAGACUGUGUGAUAGCAUCGGGACACCGGGGCUCAUCUACUGCUCCCCAGUUCUGGUGUCCAUCUUUGUGACAUCUCGACCCACAGUGACCAUUCGAAGACAGCCCAGGUUCAUGCUGGUCAUAUCAUCAAGCCCCUCCUCAAGUCAUUGCACCCACCCUUCACUGGACGUCCCGGUGCCCUUGGACAGAGGCAUGGGGAAAUGAAGUCGGCCAACAAACUCAACACGCACGGAAGUCUUUCCAAGUUGGCACUCCAGAUGACAACGCAGCCCAGCCCGUGUCUUCACUGUAAUCUGUGAUAUCCUGAGCAGAGGGUCAUCCCUGGAUCCCUGACCCAGAAAAACCGAGAGACACAGAGUGUGGUAGACUCUUUGCCCUCUGCACUUCUUUUGCAAAUAUUUCACAUCCUCCGAAAUCUCAUUCCCAAAGCUGCAUAAAAGCUAUUGAUUUCUGAGUUGUCGGAUGGUAGUGGCACACGCCUUUAAUCCCAGCCCUUGGGAGGCAGAGGCAGAGAAAUCUCUGUAAGUCUGAGGCCAGCCUGGUCUACCACAAAAAGUCUAAGCCACUCAGGGCUACAUAGUAAGACCUUGUCUCAAUAAAAAAAGAAAAGUGUGUGUGUGUGUGUGUGUGUGUGUGUAUACAUACAUGUAUAUGGCUUAAAUCAAUAUCUGGAAAUAGAUGCUUUCUUAGAAAAGCUUGAUUUUGUUUAGAAAAAAAAAACAUUUGACAGAUUAUGCAAAUUUUGUUUAGGGUAUACAGUAGCAAAA